UACGGGGGGGGCAAGCGUUGUUCGGAAUUACUGGGCGUAAAGGGCUCGUAGGCGGCCAACUAAGUCAGACGUGAAAUCCCCAGGCUCAACCUGGGAACUGCGUCUGAUACUGGAUGGCUUGAAUCCGGGAGAGGGAUGCAGAAUUCCAUGUGUAGCGGUGAAAUGCGUAGAUAUCUGGAGGAAUACCGGUGGCGAAGGCGGCAUCCUGGACCGGCAUUGACGCUGAGGAGCGAAAGCUAGGGGAGCAAACGGG
rnacentral:rRNA from 1 species